rnacentral:rRNA from 1 species
UUAAAUUGAAGAGUUUGAUCAUGGCUCAGAUUGAACGCUGGCGGCAGGCCUAACACAUGCAAGUCGAACGGUAACAGGAAGCAGCUUGCUGCUUCGCUGACGAGUGGCGGACGGGUGAGUAAUGUCUGGGAAACUGCCUGAUGGAGGGGGAUAACUACUGGAAACGGUAGCUAAUACCGCAUAACGUCGCAAGACCAAAGAGGGGGACCUUCGGGCCUCUUGCCAUCGGAUGUGCCCAGAUGGGAUUAGCUAGUAGGUGGGGUAACGGCUCACCUAGGCGACGAUCCCUAGCUGGUCUGAGAGGAUGACCAGCCACACUGGAACUGAGACACGGUCCAGACUCCUACGGGAGGCAGCAGUGGGGAAUAUUGCACAAUGGGCGCAAGCCUGAUGCAGCCAUGCCGCGUGUAUGAAGAAGGCCUUCGGGUUGUAAAGUACUUUCAGCGGGGAGGAAGGGAGUAAAGUUAAUACCUUU